rnacentral:pre_miRNA from 1 species
NNAGUACUCCCUCCGUCCCAAAAUUCUUGUCUUAGAUUUGUCUAGAUACGGAUGUAUCAAGUCACAUUUUAGUAUUAGAUACAUCCAUAUCUAGACAAAUCUAAGACAAGAAAUUUGGGACAGAGGGAGUAGUUG